GCAAGAUAAGAAAAAGAAGAAGAAGAAGAAGGAAAAGAAAGUCGAAGAGUAGUUGUGUUGUUCAAUUCUUAUGUUUUGCAACCUUUGAUUUUUCUU
rnacentral:ribozyme from 1 species